AUUGAACGCUGGCGGCAGGCCUAACACAUGCAAGUCGAGCGGAAACGAAGGGAGCUUGCUCCCAGGCGUCGAGCGGCGGCCGCGUGAGUAACACGUGAGAAUCUGCCCCUUAGUGGGGGACAACUCGGGGCAACUCGAGCUAAUACCGCCUAAUCCCUACGGGGGAAAGCAGGGGACCUUUUGGCCUUGCGGUGAUGGAUGAGACCACGUCGGAUUAGCUUGUUGGUGAGGUAAAGGCUCACCAAGGCGACGAUCCGUAGCUGGUCUGAGAGGAUGAUCAGCCACACUGGGACUGAGACACGGCCCAGACUCCUACGGGAGGCAGCAGUGGGGAAUCUUGGACAAUGGGGGCAACCCUGAUCCAGCCAUGCCGCGUGUGUUAAGAAGGCCUUCGGGUUGUAAAGCACUUUCAGCAGGGAGGAAGGCUUUGGCCGAAUAGGUUGAAGUACUUGACGUUACCUGCAGAAGAAGCACCGGCUAAUUUCGUGCCAGCCGCCGCCGUAA
rnacentral:rRNA from 1 species